ACUCCUACGGGAGGCAGCAGUGAGGAAUAUUGGUCAAUGGGCGCAAGCCUGAACCAGCCAUGCCGCGUGCAGGAAGACUGCCUUAUGGGUUGUAAACUGCUUUUAUAUGGGAAGAAACCCCUCUACGUGUAGUAGGCUUGGCACGGUACCAUAAGAAUAAGCACCGGCUAACUCCGUGCCAGCAGCCGCGGUAAUACGGAGGGUGCAAGCGUUAUCCGGAAUCAUUGGGUUUAAAGGGUCCGCAGGCGGUCAAUUAAGUCAGAGGUGAAAUCCUAUAGCUUAACUAUAGAACUGCCUUUGAUACGGUUGACUUGAGUUAUACGGAAGUAGGUANAAUGUGGUAGUGUAGCGGUGAAAUGCAUAGAUAUUACACAGAAUACCGAUUGCGAAGGCAGCCUACUACGUAUAUACUGACGCUCAUGGACGAAAGCGU
rnacentral:rRNA from 1 species